GUCGUAACAAGGUUUCCGUAGGCGAACCUGCGGAAGGAUCAUU
rnacentral:rRNA from 1 species